CCUACGGGAGGCAGCAGUGGGGAAUUUUGGACAAUGGGCGCAAGCCUGAUCCAGCAAUGCCGCGUGCAGGAUGAAGGCCUUCGGGUUGUAAACUGCUUUUGUACGGAGCGAAAAGGUUCCCUCUAAUACAGGGGGCUCAUGACGGUACCGUAAGAAUAAGCACCGGCUAACUACGUGCCAGCAGCCGCGGUAAUACGUAGGGUGCGAGCGUUAAUCGGAAUUACUGGGCGUAAAGCGUGCGCAGGCGGUUCUAUAAGACAGUUGUGAAAUCCCCGGGCUCAACCUGGGAAUUGCAUCUGUGACUGUAGAGCUAGAGUACGGCAGAGGGGGAUGGAAUUCCGCGUGUAGCAGUGAAAUGCGUAGAUAUGCGGAGGAACACCGAUGGCGAAGGCAAUCCCCUGGGCCUGUACUGACGCUCAUGCACGAAAGCGUGGGGAGCAAACAGGAUUAGAUACCCUGGUAGUCCACGCCCUAAACGAUGUCAACUGGUUGUUGGGAAUUUACUUCUCAGUAACGAAGCUAACGCGUGAAGUUGACCGCCUGGGGAGUACGGCCGCGAAGGUUGAAACUCAAAGGAAUUGACGG
rnacentral:rRNA from 1 species